rnacentral:rRNA from 1 species
CAGUCGCCGCGGUAAUACGUAGGGUGCGAGCGUUAAUCGGAAUUACUGGGCGUAAAGCGUGCGCAGGCGGUUGUGUAAGACAGGUGUGAAAUCCCCGGGCUUAACCUGGGAACUGCGCUUGUGACUGCACAGCUAGAGUAUGGCAGAGGGGGGUGGAAUUCCACGUGUAGCAGUGAAGUGCGUAGAGAUGUGGAGGAACACCGAUGGCGAAGGCAGCCCCCUGGGCCAAUACUGACGCUCAUGCACGAAAGCGUGGGGAGCAAACAGGAUUAGAUACCCCCGUAGUCCCUGUCUCUUAUAC